rnacentral:misc_RNA from 1 species
GGCUCUAUCCGAAUCCAUAACGACUCUCGGCAACGGAUAUCUAGGCUCUCGCAUCGAUGAAGAACGUAGCAAACUGUGAUACUUGGUGUGAAUUGCAGAAUCCCGUGAACCAUCGAGUUUUUGAACGCAAGUUGCGCCCGAAGCCAUUAGGCCAAGGGCACGUCUGCCUGGGCGUCACGCAUCGCGUCGCCCCCCCACCCCAGUGGUGUCGGGGCGGAAAAUGGCAUCCCGUGGUCUGUCGCGGCCUGCCUAAACCCGUGUCCCUCGUCGCGGACGUCACGACAAGUGGUGGUUGAAAUCCUCAACUCGAAUGCGAGUCGUGCGCACCUCGUGGCCGAGACGACACGUAAUAGACCCUGAGACGAUUCCCUUUCGAGGGAGGAGCAUACGUCAUGACUGCGACCCCA